rnacentral:misc_RNA from 1 species
CUACGAGGUGACCACCGGAGAUCAGUGGUAGUGACAUGAGCGAAGCAUGAGUGAAGCCCUUCCUGUCACGAUUUUUCGUUAAUUUACUCAGUGGUAUUAUGAAAAUGUAAAAAACUUGGAGUAGGGCCUACUCUUGCUUCUACUCGCGAAACUCAAACAUGACUGAAAAUGUGUACAUUUUCGAAACCGUCGACAAAGACUUUUUUAUGUCAGAGGUCUAUCCACAGAGGAAGCCUGCAGUCCUCCGAGGGAUAGACAUUGGGGACUGCACAUCCAGAUGGACAGAAGGCUACCUUUGUGAGAAGGUUGGAUCCCAGGAGGUCAAAGUUCAUGUCAGUCCAACCGCAAAGAUGGACUUCAUCAGCAAAAAUUAUGCCUACAGGACAUUGCCGUUUGACAUCUUUGUGAGACGAGCAGCUGAACAUACGCAUGAUGAAUUCUUCUUCAAACCAGAUGAGAAGUAUUACUUCCGUGCACUUGGAGGUGAUCCCAGAAAGGAACCUGCAGAUCUAACCAAGCAGUUUCCAACCCUGGCGGCUGAUGUGGCCAUUCCUCGGUACUUCAAGGAAGGCGCGUUCUUCUCCAGCGUCCUACGGCUAGGAUCUGCUGGAGUGCAACUCUGGACACACUAUGAUAUCAUGGACAACCUCUUGAUACAGAUUAGUGGUCAUAAGCGGGUGGUUCUCUUCAGACCUUCAGAUGCAACUCAUUUGUAUCUCACAGGUGAUAAAUCAGCUGUCUUAGACAUUGACAAUCCUGACCUGGUCAGGUACCCUGCCUUCAGGCAUGCAAGGCCUAUUGAGUGCCAUCUACAACCUGGUGAUGUGCUGUUUAUUCCAGCUUUGUGGUUUCACAAUGUGCAGUCGUUAGACUUCAGUGUUGCCGUAAAUGUCUUCUUCCGACAUUUGGAUGCCAGUUGCUAUGACAACAAAGAUCCCUAUGGCAACAAAGAUCCACAGGCGGCAGCGAGAGCCCUUCAGAUCCUAAACCGAGCAGUGAAGUGCCUGGAAGAGUUGCCGGAGGAGUACAGGGACUUCUACGGUCGGAGGAUGAUCAAUGAAAUUGAGGCCAAGACUUUCCUGAAUUCCUGACAUCAAUCAAGGCCGAAACCGAGCACCUGUGUAUUUUUAAAUGUCAUCAGUAACACACUUUUGUUCCUCCUAAGUUCUGAUGGAGAUUGAGUGAAACGAGGUAAAUGAGCACAGGAGUCAUGGGUAAUACUACUCUGUGAAGUACUCCCACCAUCUUGUAAGGAAAGUGGCACUCACCCAUAUACCCAGAGGUACCAUGGCCAAGGGCAGAGGGACAUAGGACUCCAACAUCAUGAUGUCUCAGCUUGAAAGGAUGGAUAUUCAAGCACCAGUGUACAAUAGUGCUCACAGAGAAAGAAAUCCAUAUAGUCACAUUGCGUUUCUGCCCUCAGAUAGAACCACCUUGAGUAUAGUACUCGAGUGCUUACUAACAAACCGGGCACGUCUUAAACCAUUCCGUGGCCAAAUUUCAUACAGUAUCAUGUUUAUAUAACCUUAGCUUAGUCAGUCAAGAGAACAUUUGAUAAAUGUGGAAAGGGUGUGGGCUUCAGGUACAGGUGUCCUUUUCAUCCGUGACCAAGAGAAAGGCUGUAUGGAUUGAGUGAUUUGGCUAUGCAAUACUGACUGCAUCUGGAAAUAACACGGGUGCCCCAGGAAGCCACAAGCUGAGGCUUGUGACUUCAGUCACUUUCCAUACGUACAUGUAGGUGCAAGGGUGUCUCCUAGCCGCAGCCAUUUGCUUUGAAUAGAGAAUCUCAGAAUAGCAAUGCAGUGCCUGGAAAUAGUCUACACAGUGCUGCUUGUACAUUUAUAGUAGGCAAACUUAGGACCAGUAUACAUGUACAUGUACACCAUCAAGUGGAUGGAGUGAAAAUAUCAGUCAGUAGUGAAGUGGCCCCUUGGUGUAACACUGGUGUGUUCAGGGAAGCUAAUCGAACGCACCCUAUAUAAUAAUGCACCCGCAAGAGACCAGCUGGACCGUACACCCUGUGUAAUGCUACACGGAGACGGUCUGCCCGCACCUAGCAUAUAGCAGCAUACACAACGCCCUAUCCAGUUUGUGAGUGACUUCGUCCCAAAGGCGGACGCGCCACGAUUCCCAAGCGCAGAAGUUGCGCGUUAACUUCCGGUUCCAUGGUUCUGCAUAAACGGCGAUCAAUGCAUGUAACCCCAUGUGCAGUGCACGUGUGCAGUGGGCGUGGUUUAAACUGAAGUGAAGUCACACUUACGUACCGGAUACAGCUUCGCUGAACUAGCAGAAUCCCUAACAAAGAGCAAGCUCCGCCCACUUACGCGCUUGUUUGAUCACGCGCAAACCAAAGAGCUUUCUACCUACACACAGCGCUAUGCUCCACCCAUCCUGUUUACGUCACAGGACAUGCACACACUACUACACUUGUGUAGUCCUCAUUACUAUACACAACAAAAGUUACAAAAGUUCCUACUCUUUCCGCUAGAAUAAUAAUUAUUUAUUGUAAUUGAUUUGAUAAAGAAAGUGCGCAGAACUGCGUAGAAUCCCAGGUGGGUCUUUCUUCUUUUUUCCCCCUUAUUUUCAUAUUGCUUUCGGCAUAAGUCUGCCAAAACCUAACCUUCUAUUCCUGGGCAAAGCAGCACUCAGGGGAUACAGAUAUUACUGUGGUUUAAGGCUAGGCCAUUUGAAAGUAGUUUGACUACACCACUUUCUGGCAUGCCCAAUAUGUCCAUAUCCAGAGUGCAGCGAAUGCUUGCUACUUCGUAAGAUUUUUAGUUUUAUUUGAAUCAUUUUUAUUUACACAAAAAGGUAUUUUAUGAGAUCUCAUCAUGCCUAAAUGAUACUUUUCAAUUUUCCUCUAGGAGUUCCAUUAGGAUUUUGUCAAGUAAUUCCCUAGAAAUACCCAAAAUACCCGAAUUAGAUCUAUCUUGACCUCAAUAAAGCAAGCAGGGAAGACCCUCUUUGAA